CAAUUUUAUUUAACUUUUCAAAAAUCCACCUUUUUGUUUCAUUUAUUUUUUUGUAUUUUUGUUGUUGUUUGUUUAGUUGGUUGUUUCAAUUUCAUUUAGUUCUCUUCCGAUCUUGAUUAUCGAAUUAAGAAGAAAUCAAGGUAUCUUCAAAUAUUGGCAAAUUAAAUAGCACAUGUCUAGACAAUGGCUCGAAGAACAAAUUACCAGGAAAAU
rnacentral:lncRNA from 1 species